rnacentral:rRNA from 1 species
CCCUUAGAUGUUCUGGGCCGCACGCGUGCUACACUGAGUGGAUCAGCGGGUCAGGUUGCGCGAAAGUGUUUCCUAAUCUUGAAAUCCGCUCGUGAUGGGGAUUGACGGUUGCAAUUUUCCGUCAUGAACGAGGAAUACCUUGUAAGCGCGGGUCAUCAUCCCGCGCUGAAUACGUCCCUGCCCUUUGUACACACCGCCCGUCGCUCCUACCGAUUGAGUGGUCCGGUGAGGCUUUGGGAUCUGAGCAAAGAGAGCGUUUCGCUCGCUUUGCCCGGAAAACUCAGUCGAACCUUAUCAUUUAGAGGAAGGAGAAGUCGUAACA